AAGGACUGAAGGAAUACUUGAGCGCUCACAUCUUAAUCUACAACCACAGGCAGAGGAAUACACAGAGAAAGCUAACUGGUAAUGGCCUGGAAUUUUGGAUCCUCAAAGCCUACCCUCAGAGACACCAGUCCCUCUUCCAAUAAAGCCAUACCUCCUAAACCUUCCCAAAUAGUUCUGCAAAUUGGUAUCAGAUAUAUGACCCUUCGGGGCCAGGCUCAUUCAAACCACCAGAGUUUUAUGUAUGGCUUAUAGUUUCAGAGAUUUUGGUCAAUGGCCACUUGGUCCUGAGGUGUUGACCUUUAAUAGCACAGUAAAUGAUGAUAGAAGAGAAUAGCAGAAGAAUUCAUUUUCCUUAUGGUAUGUAGAAAGCAAAAGAUAAAGUAAGAGGAAGAGGCUAGGGUCUCUAUGUCCUCUUCUAGGGCAUAUCCAUAGUAAUCCAACUCAUUUCCACUAGGCUCUGUCAAAGAUUAAUAAUCAAACAUUUAAUACCUGGUCUUUUGGGAGACAUUUAGCCAAACCACAGCAAACACAUAGAAGAAAAAUUAAAUGAGAAUGAGUUAGAGAGUAAAAUUAGUCAGAAUUAUGAAGAUAUUGCCUGGCUCCUGGCUUGCUGAAGCUAAUUCUAGGAGUGGCCCAGUAAUUUCUAUAUUAAAUUUGAGGUUAUCAAUGGUUGCUGAUAAUUCCGCAGUAUUCAUAUUUCAUGUCAAGGGAACUCAAGUUCAUAUAAUAUAUGUUUAUUAAUAUAAAUGUACACAUUAACAUGUAUGUUAAUUUUAACAGAUACCACAAUUUGAGAGUCAUAGUAAAAAUAUCUAUGACAGUUUUUGUAGUUGAUUGAAGUUAAUAGCAGAUGUUUAAUUAGAGGUCAUUUAUUUGUUUUUCUGUGUGUGUGUGUGUGUGUGUGUGUGUGUGUGUGUGUUGUAUUGCUAUGGAUUGAAUUCAGGGCCUUUUGUGUUCUAGGCAAGCAGUCCACUAUUGAACUACUCCCAGCUCUUGUUUUUAUGAGAUGGAAUCUCAUUUGGUAGCUCAGGCUAGCCUUGAGUAUGCAAUCUCUCUGCCCCAGCUUACCAAAUUUUGGGAUUAUACAUAUGUGCUAUCAUGCCCAGCUACACACCAUUGACCUUGGGUGACUUCUGAAAGUGUAUAUACUGUAUUGUCUAUGAAAGGGUGUGGCUGGUAAAUAUCUUCCUGCUUAAGUCCAUGUUUUUAUAUAGUGUCAUCAUUAAAGUUGAAACCUAAAAGCUUAGUUAUGCUUUUGUGUUUCUAUAGGGAUUUGAAUGAUGAGGCACUGCUAAUGGGUACUUCCCAAUGGCUCAGACACUUGUAAAGGUACUUCCUUGCAAAUUAAAUGCAUCAAAUACAUUUUUAUACAAAAAUAAGAUUUUUAUUGGGGUCAGAGAGAUGGCUCAGUGAAAAAAAGCACUGACUCUUCUUCCAGACGACCCUGGUUAGUUGCCUAAAUGGUGACUUUCAACUCUCUGUAACUUCAGUUUCAGGGGAUCUGAUGCUGUCUUUUGGCUUUCUCUGGCACUGCAUGCAUGUAGUAUCCACUCAGGCAGCACAUCCAUAGACAUAUAAAAUUAAGAAUGAAUGAAUGAAUGAAUGAAUGAAUGAAUAAGUCUUCAAGGAAGAAGUUGAAUUGUUUCUAGAGUAUGUGAGUCCUUUGAACUCUUCCAUGCCUAUUUCUCCAAAGUAUUAAUAGAAAGGUCAGAGGACGGAUGUCAGAGGAAGGUUGCCUUGGAAAGAGUUGGUGGGAAGGCUCCUGACCUCAUGAUUGAGGCUGGUUUCAGAAGUCCAGCAGUUUCUGUAUGUCAGAACAGCAACAGUCAUGACUGCCGGAAGAAGAAGAAGAAGAAGAAGAAAAAAACAACUCCCCCAAACC
rnacentral:lncRNA from 1 species